GAUGAACGCUGGCGGCGUGCCUAAUACAUGCAAGUCGAGCGAACAGAUGAGGAGCUUGCUCCUCUGACGUUAGCGGCGGACGGGUGAGUAACACGUGGAUAACCUACCUAUAAGACUGGGAUAACUUCGGGAAACCGGAGCUAAUACCGGAUAAUAUAUUGAACCGCAUGGUUCAAUAGUGAAAGACGGUUUUGCUGUCACUUAUAGAUGGAUCCGCGCCGCAUUAGCUAGUUGGUAAGGUAACGGCUUACCAAGGCGACGAUGCGUAACCGACCUGAGAGGGUGAUCGGCCACCCUGGAACUGAGACACGGUCCAGACUCCUACGGGAGGCAGCAGUAGGGAAUCUUCCGCAAUGGGCGAAAGCCUGACGGAGCAACGCCGCGUGAGUGAUGAAGGUCUUCGGAUCGUAAAACUCUGUUAUUAGGGAAGAACAAAUGUGUAAGUAACUAUGCACGUCUUGACGGUACCUAAUCAGAAAGCCACGGCUAACUACGUG
rnacentral:rRNA from 1 species